GUCUCAGUAGCUCAGCUGGAUAGAGCAGCCGCCUCCUAAGCGGCAGGUCGGAGGUUCAAUUCCUCUCUGGGACA
rnacentral:tRNA from 1 species